GCUACAGAACUGAAUGUAAUGAGAGCAUAUUCAAGAUCAAUGAUGCAUCUCAAGCGGCUAUAUCGACUAACAUGAGAAACGCACUUAUUGACAGUAUGACCUAAAGUAAGGGAAAUCAGCCUUCAGUA